AACUGUGCUUCCCUUUUUGCCCCUGCUUCUUUUUUGUUAUUUCGAGUUUGCCCUUCCUUCCCACACCUUUUUAUCCACCUUUUCUCUAGAUACUUCCCCCACCGUUCCAGACUCUAGAGCCACCUUUUCUCUGCUUGACUCCUGCUCUCCCCGUCUCCCUCCUCGCCUCACUCUUCUCUGGACCAAGCAGCUCGAUUUAGGGCUUCACCAUUUCUCUUCGAAUCAAGGUCCCUAUUUUGCCAAUCUAGGUUUCCCUCUCUCUCUGUGGAAAAACCCUAGAUCUCGCCACUGCCGGAGAGUCCAAUCUCGGCCCUUCGAGCUUCAAUCCGCCUUGCUGAUCGCCUCUUCUCGACGCCUCCACCUAAAUCCCUCUGUGGGACUUUGAGUAUUAUCUUCAACAACUUCACUGAAGGACGCACUUUUAGUGAGGUGGUGGUUGAAGCAAAGUCGGCAGGUUAUACUCAGACGGAUCCAAAGGAUGGUCUAUCUGGAGCAGAUGUUUGUAGAAAGAUUGGUGGUAGGCUAUUUUAGAGUAGAAACUAUGCAAGCAAAGACAUUAAAUUGGUGGAGGCCCAAGCCCUCAUGCUCAAUGGUGUCGAAGAGCUUGCGGAUGCUGUUAAGUCACCAUGGGACCUAAGUUGGUAGCCACAAAUCAACUGACUCAACUUUAUAUCAAUAUUGGAGCCUUAAAAGUGUAAGUCAUCUGUUUCAUUCUAUUUUAUAAAAUGAAUUAAGUUCUGAAGUUUAUAUAUUCUGAAACUCAAGUAUUACACACACACACACACACACACGCAUAUACAUAUCAUUCCAUAAACAUAAUACAUGUAAAUAAAUAAAAAAAUUUACAAUUUUUUGUAUCUAGGCUGUAUCGAUGAAAUAUUUUUUUAUGUAAAAAUUUUCUAACAUUUUAAGUGUAAAGAAUAUUGAUGCCUAAAAUCCUGUCAUUAGUUUUUUUCCAUCAGAAUUUUACAAUCGGUUGAAUUCUUUUCAAAUAUGCAUAAUUUCUUUGUGCGGUUUUUUUUUUAGUUUCUUGGUCAAGCAAAUUUAUAUGUCUGUUUUACUAUUCUCUUUUCUCAGAUUAUUCUACUCGAGAUUAGUUGUGUUUUGUGGGUUUAGGUAGGGGAACUGAAUUAACUAUUUUUUUUUGGGGGGUUUUUCUUUCAGAAUGUAUUGAAUCACUUUAUUUGUUGUUUAGCUUAUCUUGCGUUUAGAUUCGGUGUUAUGAAAUACUCAUGACGCUACUCACCAAUGUGCAAAACCAUCAGCAGGUAUCUCUGCAAAAUCAGUACAUUGUCAUUUUAUUUCUUUAAUGUUUGUUUAACCAUCCGUAAUUCCCAAACCCAAACAAAGCACCAAAUUAAUAUAAAUUUUUUUUCAAAAAGAUCUGGGUUAAAGAAAAUUUUCGGAGUUAAUUCAUAAUAUUUUAUAAAAGUAAUGUUUAUUCUAUUCUAUUAUGAUUUGAGGUAACUAUUAAUUUACUUGGAAAAAUUUAUGUGCCAGGUUAAAUAUGCCAUUUGACAAAGUAUGGUUUGUUCCUAGAUUCUGUAAUUAUUUUCAUUUUAUUCAGGAUUCAUUCAAGUUCCAAUUUGAACUAUUGGAAGAUGUUUAUGUAAUUCGAAGUACCUAAUUGGUUUUGUACCAAUAUACAUGACUCAAACGCUGAAGAAUACCUGCUUUCUCCCUCUCUCUCAUUAUGAUUGAUGUGGAGAACCAGCCCCGGAGAAGGCUUUUGCCCAGGCUCAUCAAAGAGAAAUCAGGUCUUGGUCACAAUCAUAUAAAAAACAUGAUAUACAAGUUUCAAGAAUACCGCUCUAAAUUGCGCUUCAUGAACAACUUAUACAGAGUUAGCAAAUGCUAAGUUUCAAGAAUACUGCUCUAAAUUGCGCUUCAUGAACAACUUAUACAGAGUUAGCAAAUGCUAAGGUAAUUGUUUCUAUGGGAGUGAAUCUAAUUUAUAAAUUCAUAUUCUCACUGGGUUGUAGCUUUGUUAAUUGAAUUUCUAUCAUAACUUUAACUGUUUUCACUUUUUUUUUUAAUUGGAGUAAACGCAACACCAUAUGAUUUAAAAUACAGCUUUUACUAGCUCAGUUCAUGGGACAACAUCUUCUGCUACCUCAACCAACGGUACAUGGCAAAAACUUUUCAAGUUCCAGUCGUAAUCUUUUUUCAACGCGUGGGCACUGUUUUCUAGUAUAUACUGGAUGUCGACACACGUUAUGGCAAACUCUACACUUAUGAUUGCCAUGUUAGGUCAUCCUCAAACAGACAAUGACCGAAGCUCGCCUAAUUAGGCUAAUUUCCUGCAUGUCGUUUUGAAUCCUUAAAUACGAAUUGACCCUAUAUGCCUAGUGGCCAACUUCCGUCUAUUAUUGUUGAAUUCUUACAUACGAAUCGAUCCUUAAAGCUUUGUUGUUGUUGUAUUUGGUUGGAUUGGAAGGAAUUGUUGAGUUUUUGCAACUAUAUGAGAAAUUUUUAAUUGUGAUUGGGAA